rnacentral:rRNA from 1 species
UACGUAGGGGGCAAGCGUUGUCCGGAAUCAUUGGGCGUAAAGCGCGUGUAGGCGGCUCGGUAAGUCCGCUCUGAAAGUCCAGGGCUCAACCCUGGGAUGCGGGUGGACACUGCCGGGCUCGAGUCCGGAAGAGGCGAGUGGAAUUCCCGGUGUAGCGGUGAAAUGCGCAGAUAUCAGGAGGAACACCUAUUGCGAAGGCAGCUCGCUGGGACGUUACUGACGCUGAGACGCGAAAGCGUGGGGAGCAAACAGG